rnacentral:lncRNA from 1 species
UGAUUAAUCUGGGGGUGGAUUUGUACUUAAAAGCUUAUUUUAGGGUAGGUUAGUGUUGGAAUUUUUGCUGUCUUAUUUGGUUUUGAGAAAUUUGGGUUUUGGAUUUAUGAACACGAUGAAUGUUCAUCAGUGUUUAUCAAGCCCACCGUUGGAACCACCUUGAUAGAUCCUUGAUGGUGGCAGUUUUUUAUGUUUGUUUAUAUGGUGGCCAAUCGAUGAGGAUAGAGAGAGAAAUGAGAGACUGACUGUAAGAGAGAGAGAGAGAGAGAGAGAGAGAGAGA